UACGUAGGGGGCAAGCGUUAUCCGGAAUCACUGGGCGUAAAGGGUGCGUAGGCGGUUAUUCAAGUCAGGUGUGAAAGGCAGUGGCUCAACCAUUGUAAGCACUUGAAACUGAAUAACUUGAGUGCAGGAGAGGAAAGUGGAAUUCCUAGUGUAGCGGUGAAAUGCGUAGAUAUUAGGAGGAACACCAGUGGCGAAGGCGACUUUCUGGACUGUAACUGACGCUGAGGCACGAAAGCGUGGGGAGCGAACAGG
rnacentral:rRNA from 1 species